UGGAAAUUCGGGACAUGUGAUAAUGACAUAACCAUUGUGCAUUCUCGGGAUGACAGAAGAGUAGUAGCAUACGCUGGUUCCAUCGCAAACAGUAAGAUAGGAGGCACGGCGUGUCUGACCAAAAUAGUACAGGGAGCUGCGCCUUAUUUCUCUGGUCCAUACAGCGCCGAGGGGCUGGAGUACAUAGUUACAAGUUUCAAGAAGGUGUUUCAGGGAAACAGUUGUCCAAAUCCGGAAGAUUCGCCUGGUCAUCAGCUAAGCAGUAGAGCUAACAGCAACAGUAACAGAAAUGUCAAUAAUAACAAUAACAAUAAUAACAACAAUUACAAUACCAACAUGAAUCAUGGUUCA